rnacentral:rRNA from 1 species
GAUGAACGCUGGCGGCGUGCCUAAUACAUGCAAGUCGAGCGAACAGAUGAGGAGCUUGCUCCUCUGACGUUAGCGGCGGACGGGUGAGUAACACGUGGAUAACCUACCUAUAAGACUGGGAUAACUUCGGGAAACCGGAGCUAAUACCGGAUAAUAUAUUGAACCGCACGGUUCAAUAGUGAAAGACGGUUUUGCUGUCACUUAUAGAUGGAUCCGCGCCGCAUUAGCUAGUUGGUAAGGUAACGGCUUACCAAGGCAACGAUGCGUAGCCGACCUGAGAGGGUGAUCGGCCACACUGGAACUGAGACACGGUCCAGACUCCUACGGGAGGCAGCAGUAGGGAAUCUUCCGCAAUGGGCGAAAGCUUGACGGAGCAACGCCGCGUGAGUGAUGAAGGUCUUCGGAUCGUAAAACUCUGUUAUUAGGGGAGAACAAAUGUGUAAGUAACUAUGCACGUCUUGACGGUACCUAAUCAGAAAGCCACGGCUAACUACGUG